GAGGAAGUGAGGCUGAAGGGUUGAUUAAUGAAGACAUUGGUCUAAUUGGACUAAUCAAGUCAUUGUCAAUUUCCUUGUUCCUGAGGAGCAGAGUUGGUCGGGAGCAGCAGUUCAAGGCAUCUUGGUUUACAGUGUACAUUACUCCAUCUCAGAGUCUGAAGCAAUUUUUUUGAACCCUCUGACCUGCUACAGAGACAAUGGAGCUUCUACAGAAUAAGGAACAGCAGUCGCAGAGCAAGGGUAUGCACUUUUUACCUCGGAACAUUGCUUUUUUUCCUGAGCAUGGAUAAACUUUGGGAAUUGUGCAAGUGGUUCUCAGCAUGCUUGCACAGAAUGUAAGUUUAGACAUACUCCACAGAGUACAGCAAAAGCUAAAUGGAAGUAUUUUGACACCAACCAGCAUUUGCGCAUCAUCAGCCACUAUAACUUAACUGUCUAUAUAAAGUAGCCCUUAAAUCACUUUUCUUGCAUUUUCCAGCACCAAAUGUGUAUCUACAUGGUUCUGUAACUAGCAAAGAAAAUUAUGUUGAAACAGUCACUGGGAAGUCAAACAGCAGUUCAGGUUUCAGUGCUGAUAUCUGAACUCUUUACCAGUAUGUCAGUUAAAAUAUCAAACAUAGGAUGAGAAAUCUAAAUUGCUACUUUCCAAAUAAGAAUUAUUGGAAAAUUAUAGCCAUUUAACCCCAAUGUUAUAAUUCAGAGUUAAGAUUUUAAAGUGGGAGAUUGUCAAAAGCACAAAGGGUAGUUAGGAACCCAAUUCCCAUUUGUAGUAUUCAGCAAUCACUCAGUAAUUAAGAUUCUUGCCAGAGAUGUAGUUUAUUCUGAAUCUUGUUCCAAUUUGAUAUAUCUGAAAAUCCCCCCAAAUGACUGACAUGAGUUUCUAGCAGUGCUGCAUUCUUGUAUUUGGUGGAACACAGCAGCAGCAGCUGAUAACUCAUGCUUCACUAUUGCCAUUCUGUAAUUUAACGGUGCUAAAUACAGAUCAGAGUCUGACUCUGCAGAUUUUCAGUAGGCUUUUAUUAGUCUGACACAA